GAUGAACGCUGGCUACAGGCUUAACACAUGCAAGUCGAGGGGAAACGACGGGGAAGCUUGCUUCCCCGGGCGUCGACCGGCGCACGGGUGAGUAACGCGUAUCCAACCUGCCUCUGACUGAGGGAUAACCCGUCGAAAGUCGGCCUAAUACCUCAUGGUAUCGUCUGCGGGCAUCCAACGACGAUUAAAGAUUUCAUCGGUCAGGGAUGGGGAUGCGUCUGAUUAGCUUGUUGGCGGGGUAACGGCCCACCAAGGCUACGAUCAGUAGGGGUUCUGAGAGGAAGGUCCCCCACAUGGGAACUGAGACACGGUCCAAACUCCUACGGGAGGCAGCAGUGAGGAAUAUUGGUCAAUGGGCGAGAGCCUGAACCAGCCAAGUAGCGUGCAGGAAGACGGCCCUAUGGGUUGUAAACUGCUUUUAUGCGGGGAUAAAGUGAGGGACGUGUCCCUCAUUGCAGGUACCGCAUGAAUAAGGACCGGCUAAUUCCGUG
rnacentral:rRNA from 1 species